rnacentral:tRNA from 1 species
CAGAAUAAUCCUUAUAGUUGGAGUUUUCAUUUACAUUGAAUUUUUUGUUGUGCAAUUCAAUAUUUUCUGA